GUAGUUAGCCGGAGCUUCCUCCUUAGGUACCGUCACUUUCUUCGUCCCUAAGGACAGAGGUUUACAAUCCAGAGAACCUUCUUCCCUCACGCGGCGUUGCUGGUUCAGGGUUUCCCCCAUUGACCAAUAUUCCCUACUGCUGCCUCCCGUAGGAGUUUGGACCGUGUCUCAGUUCCAAUGUGGCCGAUCACCCUCUCAGGUCGGCUACCUAUCGCAGGCUUGGUGGGCCAUUACCUCACCAACUACCUAAUAGGACGCGAGCUCAUCCAUAAGCGAAUUUCUUUGACCCCUCUAUCAUGUGAUAAUGUGGUCUUAUGCGGUAUUAGCAGUCGUUUCCAACUGUUGUCCCCCUCUUAUGGGCAGAUUACUCACGCGUUACUCACCCGUCCGCCACUAAUUCUAAGCAUCUUCCACCCGAAGGCUUCCGUCGCUUAGCUUCGUUCGACUUGCAUGUAUUAAGCACGCCGCCAGCGUUCGUCCUGAGCCAGGAUCAAACUCUGA
rnacentral:rRNA from 1 species